rnacentral:rRNA from 1 species
GACAGAGGUGCCAAGCGUUAGGCGGAAUCACUGGGCGUAAAGGGUGCGUAGGCGGCCGUGCAAGUCUGGCGUGAAGGCCCCGGGCUCAGCCCGGGAAGUGCGCUCGAAACUGCGCGGCUCGAGUGCCGGAGGGGAGAGUGGAAUUCCUGGUGUAGCGGUGAAAUGCGUAGAUAUCAGGAGGAAUACCGGUGGCGAAAGCGACUCUCUGGACGGCAACUGACGCUGAGGCACGAAAGCGUGGGGAGCAAACAGG